CUGGACUUCUUUCCUGAAGCAGCUGCAUGUUGUCCUGAAUGUUCCUGAAUGUUCUUCUUCUCUGCUUCUGCUGGACUCUUCUGAUCUGCUGCUGUUGCUUCACAACGUUAGACUUUUCUUAAACUUUCUGAUCUUCUUCAGCUCUGAAGUCUUUAGAAGAAGUGAAGGAUGAAAAACAUUAACUUUGUCUUUAAACUCAACUCUUUGUUCUGGAUUCAGGUUGAGGAACUGCUGUCUGUCAAAGACCAGCUGUGCUGCUCUGGUCUCAGCUCUGAAGUCCAACCCGUCCCACCUGAUAUACCUGGACCUGAGAUACAACAACAUUCAGUCUUCAGAUGUUCAGCAGCUCCAGGAUCUGGUGGAGAGUCCAAACUCCAAACUGCAGACUCUGAGGUGGGAAGACUAAGGAGUCUGUUGUUCCUCCUGGAAGAGCAGAGAGGAGCAGCAGCAGCAGCUGGUCUGCAGAGAUGCUGUGACUGGACGGUGUUCCUGGAAGGUGGAGAGCAGAGUGAUGGAGGAAUCAGAGGAAGUGGAGAUGAGUGUCAGAGCUGCAGCAGGAACUGAUCUGAGAUCAGCUCCACUGUCUCUCUCAGCAUCAAGUGGACAGUUAUUGUGCUGCAGCUCCCCCGGUGAAUCUUUCGCCUCCCCCUCAUCCUGUUCUAGCUGUUCUAAUCUUCAUCUGUUUGGUUCCUUCUCAGUAGAAAUGGGUUGGAAAAGAGCUUUUGAAUGUUCAGGUGGUGCUGAUGUCUUUCUAGAUGGGGGUGGGCAGAACAGAUGAGAGCUCCUCCCUCCUGAUUCAGAGGGGAACAGUGGGCAGCAGCUGAAAGGAGGGAGUGGAAAUGGGAAAAGUUCUCUGCACGUUUCUCCUUUCCAAGAACAGAGGGACACGACUCCAUGAACAGCAGAAGCUAAAGAGUUGGAAAACAUGCCCAAAGCUGCAGCACCACCUGCAAAAAGAUGCUUCCUCUUCAGGCUCCGCUCCACCACAUCAAGAAAGAUUAGAGUUUCUGCUGAGCUGCUAUUGGAGCUUUUAGGGGGUCAGAUCUUCAGGAACAUUUGCUGUCAAUGAAACCAGGAAGUAAAGUGUUUUUAAAGGUCAGAUUGAUGACAUCAUCAGUUGUGGAAACACUGUAAAACAGAAAUCCAGCAGAGAAGUAAACAUCAGGAACUUCCUGUUUGAGUCUCUUGAUUUUAGGAUCAUCAAGCCAGAAUCCAAGCAGCACCUUCAUCCUGAUGAAGAUCCGCCCUCUGACCUCCAUCAGUCCUCUCCAGGCUCCGCCCCCAGUCUCCAUCCUCUCUCUGUGAGUCUCUGCAGAGUUUUUCUGCAGCUGCUGGUUUUUCUGCAGCAGCAGCAGCAUCAGAGCCAGAGAGCCAAAGAAAGUGGAAAGUCUGAGAAGGAAGCCGCUCUGAAGCUCUGCAGCUGACGGUGCAGCUUCAGGACUCAUGAGGAGGACCACAUGCACGGCUCUGAUGCUGCUGAACGUCUGACUGAGAUGAUCCACAUUCAGAAGAGAGUUUCACAGUGAAAGACGUGUGGAAGAAGAGAAUCCUGAAGGUUUCUGUGCAGACAUGAACUCAGUCAGAGAGCGUCUGAAUGUUGGAGGAUCCAGAAGAAACCAGGAGCUCAUGAAGGUGGUUCUGUUGGAGCAGAGAGCAGAACUCUGAUCCCAGUUUCAGGAACAAUGCAGGCUCAUGUUCUGGACUGAAGAGUUCUCCUGAAAUGUUCUGUUCAGACUUCUUCAGGAUCACAUCUGUGUGUGAAUGUGGAGGUUUGUCUGAACCAAGCUGCAGCUCACUUUGAAGCUCCUUCAGGCUCACACAGCAACAAUGACAAAGACUGAAGCUGCUG